CUUAGAACCGCUUACUCGGCUGUCCUGGCUUGACAACAUACCCAUGAUGUCAGAACCACCUCCUAGCAAGCCACGAAGCCCACCUGCUUCCUCCAAGCGGGAUCUAUCAGAGAUAGGAGUUGAAUGAGACUGGAUUUUAUUGGCCCAGGACAGGGUCCGGUGGAGGGCUUUGGUUAAUUUGGUGAUGAACCUUCAGUUUCCGUGACCCAUCUACUUAACAUUCAUCCCUACCAUACUUGAUGCAGAAGUUGGAGUGUCUGGCAUAGAGACUGCUGGCGGUGCUGCAUUUUCAACUGAUGCUUUAUGCUUCUUUGGUAGCGAUCUAUCUUCAUG